AAGUCGUAACAAGGUUUCCGUAGGUGAACCUGCGGAAGGAUCAUUAACACGUAUCCACGUAUCAACCAAUGAGAACCUGUUUUCCCGUCUCCCUGUGCAAAGAAUGAAUUGGAACCAGUUUGAGGGAGUGAUGGGACCGAAAGGUCGGCCUUCCUGGUAUACUUACGUAAAUAGAAAUGUUUGCGUAGACAAUUGUAUUUUUGUUACAGGCUAUUUCUUAUCGCUUUGAUCCCCAUCAUGAUCGUGGCGGUAGGGAAACUUUCACUAAAUUUACCUUUUUUGCUAGUUGACUUUUUAUAUGUGUUGUCUUGCGAAAGCAUGGUGGCACACGUUUAUUAAUUGAACGUUAAAAAAUACAACUCUUAGCAAUGGAUAUCUUGGUUCUC
rnacentral:misc_RNA from 1 species